rnacentral:rRNA from 1 species
AUUGAACGCUGGCGGCAGGCCUAACACAUGCAAGUCGAGCGAGCGGCGGACGGGUGAGUAAUGUAUGGGGACUGCCCGAUAGAGGGGGGUAACUACUGGAAACGGUAGCUAAUACCGCAUACUAUCGCAUAACACAUAUGGGAUCAGCUAGUAGGUGGGGUAAUGGCUCACCUGGGCGACGAUCCCUAGCUGGUCUGCGAGGAUGAUCAGCCAAACUGGGACUGAGACACGGCCCAGACUCCUACGGAGGCAGCAGUGGGGAAUUUUGGACAAUGGGGGAAACCCUGAUGCAGCAAUCCCGCGUGUAUGAGGAAGGCCUUGGGGUUGUAAAGUACUUUUGGCAGGGAAGCGGUAUCUGCAGAAUAAGCACCGGCUAACUACGUGCCAGCAGCCGCGGUAAUUC